rnacentral:piRNA from 1 species
UCCGUGGUGAAUUUUGAAUUUGUUUUU